CUGCUCAGCUGUCUCCAAUCUGCCAAUCACUCACCUGCUUCUUGAGGACUACUCAGACCACACUCAGCGCUGGGAGAGCUCAGAGACCCGAGUGUGGCGCCGGGAUAACUAAGUCAACGGCGCUUGUAGCUUUGUGUGAGGGAGGCUUGGGAGCAAAGAUAAGAGGCUCUUAAACAUGCUGCUCAGGAGGAAGAGCUCAGGUGUCAGCGAGCUUUCAAACAGCACUUUGGACUCCUCAGAAAAGAAUGUUUGCCACAGAGCCCAGGAGAACUUAUCGUCAGAAAGCAGGAAGCGCUUGUCGUAAAUGUUGGUUUUAUCAAAAUUCAAAAUGGUAAAAAAUGGACUUUGAAUCUCCAAACAGAGAAUGAAAUGACAGAAUUAUGACUGACAUGAACCACAGGAUUCUCCACAUGCUGGAAAAACUAAAAAUAGAUCAGGAUAAAUAAACGAAACAAAAUUAUCAAGUGUGGGUCAUUUUUGUUUGUUUUAAAGACAUAGUUUGA